rnacentral:rRNA from 1 species
UACAGAGGUCCCAAGCGUUGUUCGGAUUCAUUGGGCGUAAAGGGUGCGUAGGCGGUCGGGUAAGUCUGAUGUGAAAUCUCACAGCUUAACUGUGAAACUGCAUUGGAUACUAUCCGGCUCGAGGAAUGGAGGGGAGACUGGAAUACUUGGUGUAGCAGUGAAAUGCGUAGAUAUCAAGUGGAACACCAGUGGCGAAGGCGAGUCUCUGGACAUUUCCUGACGCUGAGGCACGAAAGCCAGGGGAGCAAACGGG